rnacentral:lncRNA from 1 species
GUGGAGGGAUUUUAAAACAUUCAAGAAUGUAAUAACAUCCUUUUAUUGAAGAAAAAAAAAACAUCUACAAGGAGUCGACUAACAAUUUCAAGCAUAUAGUCGUAUUAUUAGUUAUCUUGGUGUAAUCAGGGGUGUACAGAAUUUUACACCGUUGUUGAAAAUUCAUACACCCUGAGGUGCAGCCGAAUGUACAGAAUUUUACACCGUUGUUGAAAAUUCAUACACCCCUGAUUACACCAAGAUAACGAAUGUAUUUCUUAUGGACAAUUCUUUUACUCAUUUUGAAACCAAGAUGUAAACUUGAAAAAUGGUAAUGAAAAUUUCCAGCGUAACAUUUUUUCAACGUCGAUGUUGCUGCGCAUUGUUAAAUACUUUUUUUCUUAUUUUUUGGAAAAAAUCAGAAAAAUUUUGUGUACUUUUGAGUUUUCCAGAAUUUUUUUUUUAAAUUUGAAAUUUUUGUCCUAAUUUUUUAUUUUUUUUAAAAAAUUUAAGAUUUCUUUUUUUAUUUUAUCUAUUUAUUAUUUAUUUCGGGGUGAACUAGGGUGAGGUGUUGUUUACACCGGGGUUAUUAACCAAUCAGAUUGCAGUAUUUUUGCUGCAUAAGAAAUAAUGAUAAUUACCUCCAGGUUUUCUCCAUUUACUUUGGAACAGGCAUUUUCUUCUAUAAAAUAUGGUGGAUUAUACCUAGUGUUAUAGCUAGCUUAACCUUUCACUUGUUUCACAGUUGCAUACAAUUGUAUUAUAUUGAGAAUGAUGUAUGAACAACACAAACCGACAUAAAAUGUAAAAAUGUCUAUAUAAGGGUGCAUCAGUCAAUAUUGUGUAAUUAUCUUAAUCAGUAUAAAAACAAACAAAUAUGUAACAAUGAAACACAAAAAGAAAUAUAGACAAAGCAUGAAUAGGCAAAAAUGAAAGACAGGAAUAUUUUUUUCUCAUCAUAGCACAAUAAAAAAUGUUGUAUAAGUACCCAGC